GCCUGGGUAGCUCAGUCGGUUAAGCGUCUGACCAUAGCUCAGGUCGUGAUCUCCUGGUUCGUGGGUUCGAGCCCUGCAUCAGGCU
rnacentral:tRNA from 1 species